rnacentral:rRNA from 1 species
AUUGAACGCUGGCGGCAUGCUUUACACAUGCAAGUCGAACGGCAGCGCGGAGAAGCUUGCUUCUCUGUCGGCGAGUGGCGAACGGGUGAGUAUAGCAUCGGAACGUGCCAAGUAGUGGGGGAUAACCAAACGAAAGUUUGGCUAAUACCGCGUAAGCUCUAAGGAGGAAAGUAGGGGACCUAAAUAAGGCCUUACGCUAUUUGAUCGGCCGAUGUCGGAUUAGCUAGUUGGUGGGGUAAUGGCUCACCAAGGCAAUGAUCCGUAGCGGGUCUGAGAGGACGAUCCGCCACACUGGGACUGAGACACGGCCCAGACUCCUACGGGAGGCAGCAGUGGGGAAUUUUGGACAAUGGGGGAAACCCUGAUCCAGCCAUGCCGCGUGUAUGAAGAAGGCCUUAGGGUUGUAAAGUACUUUUGUUAGGGAAGAAAAGCUAGUUUUUAACAAAAAUUAGUGAUGACGGUACCUAAAGAAUAAGCACCGGCUAACUACGUG